CAGUAGCCGCGGGAAUACAGAGGGUGCGAGCGUUAAUCGGAUUUACUGGGCGUAAAGCGUGCGUAGGCGGCUUCUUAAGUCGGAUGUGAAAUCCCUGAGCUUAACUUAGGAAUUGCAUUCGAUACUGGAAGCUAGAGUAUGGGAGAGGAUGGUAGAAUUCCAGGUGUAGCGGUGAAAUGCGUAGAGAUCUGGAGGAAUACCGAUGGCGAAGGCAGCCAUCUGGCCUAAUACUGACGCUGAGGUACGAAAGCAUGGGGAGCAAACAGGAUUAGAUACCCCCGUAGUCCCUGUCUCUUAUACA
rnacentral:rRNA from 1 species